rnacentral:rRNA from 1 species
UGGGGAAUAUUGGACAAUGGGCGAAAGCCUGAUCCAGCCAUGCCGCGUGUGUGAAGAAGGCCUUUUGGUUGUAAAGCACUUUAAGUGGGGAGGAAAAGCUUAUGGUUAAUACCCAUAAGCCCUGACGUUACCCACAGAAUAAGCACCGGCUAACUCUGUGCCAGCAGCCGCGGUAAUACAGAGGGUGCAAGCGUUAAUCGGAAUUACUGGGCGUAAAGCGCGCGUAGGUGGUUAUUUAAGUCAGAUGUGAAAGCCCCGGGCUUAACCUGGGAACUGCAUCUGAUACUGGAUAACUAGAGUAGGUGAGAGGGGAGUAGAAUUCCAGGUGUAGCGGUGAAAUGCGUAGAGAUCUGGAGGAAUACCGAUGGCGAAGGCAGCUCCCUGGCAUCAUACUGACACUGAGGUGCGAAAGCGUGGGUAGCAAACAGGAUUAGAUACCCUGGUAGUCCACGCCGUAAACGAUGUCUACCAGUCGUUGGGUCUUUUAAAGACUUAGUGACGCAGUUAACGCAAUAAGUAGACCGCCUGGGGAGUACGGCCGCAAGGUUUA